rnacentral:rRNA from 1 species
GACGAACGCUGGCGGCGUGCUUAACACAUGCAAGUCGAGCGGUAAGGCCCUUUCGGGGGUACACGAGCGGCGAGCGGGUGAGUAACACGUGGGUGACCUGCCUUUAGCUCUGGGAUAAGCCUGGGAAACCGGGUCUAAUACCGGAUAUGACUCCGCGGCGCAUGUUGUGGGGUGGAAAGCCUUGUGCGGCUGGAGAUGGGCCCGCGGCCUAUCAGCUUGUUGGUGGGGUGAUGGCCUACCAAGGCGACGACGGGUAGCCGGCCUGAGAGGGCGACCGGCCACACUGGGACUGAGACACGGCCCAGACUCCUACGGGAGGCAGCAGUGGGGAAUCUUGCGCAAUGGGCGAAAGCCUGACGCAGCGACGCCGCGUGAGGGAUGACGGCCUCGGUU